CAUCUCAAUUCUCACAUUGUUGGUCAUUUAAAACUGGAACAUACACUUAAAUGAGUUACAUUCUUGUUGACGCAAUGAAAUCAGCGUCUCUUUCUCAUGUCGUGCGACGUGAUGAGGAUGAUUUCUUGGUUCGAGCUACGACCUGAAGAUCUUGUUUUUUUCCGGAGUUCCCAGUUGUCUUGAUAGCACCAUAAAUCCAGAGUAUACCAGGCUUUGAUGACAAAAGUUUCCCACGAAGGACUGCCGCGCCACCUUCCUGUUCAAGUGAGCACAACAAGAUUUGACAUCCUGAUCAUCAGUCAUUGCUCUGGGGCAUGACGUUUUAGCAGUGCCACUUCAGCCACUAUCAGUGUAAAUUCAGCUCACUCCUGGACCGUGGCUGUGAGGCAGUGAGUACCCACUAACUAAACACUCCCCAGUGACAUGAAGGCCAUCCAUCACUGGACUCUGCCAUUGUAGUGCAUGUGAGAGAGCGAUUGGGUCAAACUCUGCUAAAUCAUCUGAAUUCCUGCUGUGUCUUGGCCCUUGCUCUCGAGAUGAAGAUAAAGAGUCAUGCACAUUCCUCAAUUUAAUAAUUAAUGAAGUGACAUGUGAUGAUGUUGUGGUGUGUAAUGUCUAUUAAAUGUGCGACAUAAAA